GGGAGCGGCGGCGGCCGCUCCGGUGUCCUGGCUCCGGGCCGCGCCGCCGCACCGGGAGGCAGGCUCUUGGUGUGGGAAAUGCUGAGGAUGCUGCGUGAUUUGCUGUUGAAAGGGCUUAAUGAAGCAGCUUGGCCACCUCUUGGAGUAUAGGAGGAUGUGUGCCUUGUGCUCUCCUCGAGUUCCCUGGUGCUGAAUUAGGGGGAAGGGGCUGGACUGGCAGGAAAGGGACUAUGGAAAACCAUCCUGCUGAUGGUGCUGCUGUGCUGUUCAGAGGUCCCCUGCUGUAGCCUGCUCCCCACGGAGCACAGCCUCAGCCCCGUGUGGGCAGUGUGAAAACCCUGUGCCGGCACACGGAGCCUUCGGAGCUCGGAAUGCGUGUUUGGGCCAAGGAAAAGGCUCAGCUGGCAGCACUGGGCUUCCCCUGGCCAGGGCAUCUGGGCUCCUGAGACGUUUGAGGAGCUUUACUUGUCUGCUUCACUUCACAGAGAAACUGAAAGCGAAACGUGCACUUGUCAGAACGCUGCCCGUCAGUGGGAUCCCGACUGCUCCUCGAAGGCCGUUCCUCAGGGUUUAGGAUUUCCUCCCAACUCUGUCUCCUGAGCCUUGCAGAGCCCUUAGCUCUGUGUUUAUACCUCAUAUAAACCAUCAUGCUCUAGACUGAGCUCCCUGAUGGUGCAGAGCCCGUGUGGGGCAGGUUUCUGCAGCAUCUGCAGCUCAGGGCUGGGUGGGGUUUAUUCCAGCUCCAGUUUCAGUUUAACUUCAGCAUCUGGCACUUCUCAGCAAAUUCAGGAGUCUUCCUUGGGUUUAUAUGUUACUAUUGCCCAUUUCCAGUGUUUGCUGCUCCUGUUGCCUUUCCAAAGGGGGUCAGUUCCACUGGGUAGGUGACCAGAGUUGAGAGAAGCAGCUCCCAGGCUGUGCUGCUGCUCCAUCCCCGGCGUCUGGGAGCCAAUCUGGCUGUCCAGGAGCAGCUCCAGACUCGCUGUUCUCACUGCAGACCCUCCAGCUGACAGCAACAGGGACUCAUCUGCUCCCAGUCCCCGCAGAAACACACGGGAAUGAGCCUUGUGCUUGAUCUGGCACAGUGCAGCACUGGAGAGUGGCAUGAGGCAUUCCUCCAGGGAUGGAAAUGCACAGCCACCAGCAGUCAAACCCGCUUUGGGAAGUUAACUGUAGAUUAUCCAUCCCAGUAAUCCCAGUGUGGCUACACAGGGUUUCAUACAGGUUGAGCAAUUGGAGUAUUAUGGUUUCUAUAUGGGCAUAAAAAUGUUCAGGCAUAAGUAUCAUUACUCUGUUUCUGGCUGGCUUGAAAAUUCCACUGCACUCUCAUAAAUGGGGAGAGGUGGCCCCGGUUGGUUUUGUGGGUUUGUUUUCCUGUUUUAUUUAAACUACAGAAAUCUGGUCUCCUCAGUGCUGGAGCCAGCUGGAACAGCAGGACACUGCUCCUCCUUAUAAAGUGCCUAAUCUCACAUUUUCUAGUUCAUUGCAGCAAGAUUUGAUGCUAUCAAGUAUUGUGGUCAGUCUCCUCAAGGAAGGGUGCCAGGUCACUUCAGCUGGAAGUUCCCUACUUGGGUGCCAGGUUACUGAAAGCUCUCUGUAUCUCCUGGAGCAGGGAUUGCAGACAGAUUUAUGGCAUGUGGAAAUUCUCCUUAAUAGGGAUAAAGGAGAAAGUUUUCAGACAGAGAAUUUCUUCAGAGAUGUGUGUGUACAGGAAAUGGGUCCUGCUGAGGGCUCAGGACCUCCAAAACCACCACAUGAAUGAGCAUUGUUCAAUCCACUGCAAACUGUAAACAGGGGCAGUAAAUAGAUUUAUAGAGAAGAAAACCUUUUGUACUUUCUGUAUGUACUGCUGCAGAACACUCACUCACCAGCUCUUCUGUCCUGCAGGCUUUGGAUUUCCCACUGUUGCUGGGUUUGCAUAUAUGAAAAUGUAAAAUGGUAACAUUUAAUAAAAUCCACAAACCAUUA